GGAGUUCCAGGCCACCACGUGCCUCUCAAACAAACAUUUAGCCUCCUCCAAGCAGCCAUGAGGUGCAUAGCCGUCGAUCAUAGCCGUAAAUGCCACCUCAUUAAGAUCCGGGGCAUCUUCAAAGAGAUUCUUUGCUUGCUCCAUAUGCCCGGCCUGGUGAUCAUGGUCGUCCAUGUUACUAGGGCAUUCUAUCAAAGAGAUCUUUAGCUUCAUCCAGCCGCUGGUUCUGGCAGUGGCCUUGGAUCAUGGCCGUCCACGGCGCGUGAGAGAUGCCCGUUAUGGGCCAUGGCCGUGCUAGAAACGGGGGUUUGCUCCGGCAUGGAGUGGAAUACCGCCUCGGCGAGUACAUCUCGAUCAUCGCGAUCCAGGUGAUGGAAUUCUUUGCAGGGAUGCGAUCGAAGAGCUGCUUGGCGCGCUGCACGUCCCCGGCCGCGGCUUCAGGUCGUGGCUGCGAAUGUAGGCCUGGAGGGUGAGAUUCCAAGAGAAGAGAUUGGGAUCCGAGGUAGAAUCGAAGACCGAUCGCGCUUCCUCCAGGCAGCCGCAGCGGCCAUACAUCUGGACGAGGAGAUUUCGCAGGAAGACGCUGUUGUUGUGGUCGCUGUGAAGGAUCUGGGCGAUGGAUCCGGCGGCCAUUGUCGCAAGAUGUGACGAGGGCGGCAAGCUCUUAUGCGCAUCGCAUCAUGGCCGUUGGAUGAUGGGGACGUCCGAGGUUCAAGUCCUGGCAGGUUCUAGCUUCCCGAUGUUUUUCAUGGCAUCCCCGAUCGCUCAGCUGCACUCCAAAUGCCGGGCGCGCUCGUCAACGACAGAAUUAACUUCCUGGACACAAGUGGAAGAGAGCAGGCUGGUUUUCCGGGCGAUGGAUCAAAAGGAUAUCAUCUCCUAAUGUCUUGCGCAGCUUACGUUUGGGUUGAGCGUCUCAGCGGCAGUGCAAGAUCUAUCCUAUCCGCACUUUCCAAAAGGACAGCACUAUCCAUACUUAUGGAAACAUCGUCUACAUGAAAUGCACAUCUACUAUACGAUCUACAUCUCGGGCGACUGUCCUAAGUCCAUCUACCGGUGGCCAUAGAGACUGGAACCCUCCAAAUACGCUGCGUUCUAGCUGAUAGUCGUCAGCUGCUCUAUACCGAUGGCUUUCCAGUAAGAAACGUGUUUAACCGUGUUAUAUGUGCUUGCUUCAAUGGAGCGUCCAACACCGCUCAAACAGGAGGCUUGGACAUGCGAGUGAUAGUAAGCAAGAUAAGCAGGGUCUGACCUGAGGUUCUGCUCCGCCUCCACCACAUCCAGCAGCUGAUGAUAUCUCCAGAGGAUCUCAAGGUUUCUAAGCAAUGCACGGCGUUAUUGCUUUCUACAAAGACACCACGAGAAUCCUUGUUAACACUCUCGGAUUUCAAAGUUAUGGAGGCACACGCUCCAUACGUCUGGGUGGGAUGUUUUCUCAGAAAUCCUGGAGGUCUCGAGUUUUCUUGACUUUUAGGGAAGGUCAGGUAUGGACGUCCAUGAGCAAGAUGAGAUAGCAGUUUCGCAAUGGUUUCAAGAAGCAUGAGCCGCAGGUCUUCGAGAUCAUAACCUUUCCAAAGUUUGGAAUUGGACAGCGUGCGUUUCUCAUCCAGACUCAAGAGGGAAACAUACUGUGGGACUGCAUCUCAUUUCUAGACGAUGCCACAGUGGAGAUAACCAAGUCACUAGGUGGAUUGAGAGCGAUUGCCAUUUCUCACCCGUAUUACUACAGCACAAACUCUCGAUGGAGCGAGGCUUUUGGAGGCGUCCCGGUUUAUACCCGCGAAUGAGUGGUUUACCAGCACGAAAAGGUGAAGUUCUACUAUGGGAGGGACUCACGCUUUUAGCCAUUUUUCUGUUGCACAAAUCCUCCACUGGUCUCAUGGAGCUCAAGGAGAGGUGUUUUAUUCACUGGAGAUAUCUUACAGGUGGGGAUGGACAACAAAACAGUGAGCAUAAUGAGAUCGUACCCAAAGUAUAUACCACUCGUCCAUGUUUGAUUUGUAGGUGGGGAUGGACAACAAAAUAGUGAGCAUAAUGAGAUCGUAUCUAAACUAUAUACCACUCUUGUCAAGCCACACUAAAAGGAUAGGCCAGGUGAUCGAGCCAUGGGAUUUUGGGAGGCUCUACAUUGCGUUUCAGGACAGAGAGGAUGACGCUGCUUAAGCAUCACAAUUAUCGAUUGACUCUCAAGUAAUGAAUCAGACUGAAACUCGAGAUGUCUUUCUGAUUA